rnacentral:rRNA from 1 species
GCGCGUAUGCUUGUCUCAAGGAUUAAGCCAUGCAGAUGCCAGUAUAAGCCAAAUUUAUGGCGAGACUGUGAAUGGCUCAUUAAAACAGUUAUAAUCUACACAAUGUUUUCUUUUACAUGGAUAACCCUAGUAAUGCUAGAGCUAAUACAUGCCCGGUCCAAAAUUUUUUUGGGACCANNNNNNNNNNNNNNNNNNNNNNNNNNNNNNNNNNNNNNNNNNNNNNNNNUGGACAUACAAGUCUUGUGGAAUCAUGAUAAUUUUGUGGAUUGAUAGUUUUUAUACUAUCGACGCAUUGUUUGAAUAUCUGCCCUAUCAACUUUUGACGGUAGGAUCGAGGCCUACCGUGGUGUUGACGGGUAACGGGGAAUUGGGGUUCGAUUCCGGAGAGGGAGCCUGAGAGAUGGCUACCACAUCCAAGGAUGGCAGCAGGCGCGCAAAUUACCCAAUCCUGACACAGGGAGGUAGCGACAAGAAAUACCGAUAGAUAGCACACUNGUGUUAUCUUAUUGGAAUGACAUUUAUUUAAACGUUAAACGGAGUAACGAUUGGAGGGCAAGUCUGGUGCCAGCAGCCGCGGUAAUUCCAGCUCCAAUAGCGUACACGAACGUUGUUGCAGUUAAAACGCCCGUAGUCUGAAUUGUGAGGUUUUUGGAAUUUUUUUGCAAUCUUUUGUAAGAAAUUCCAACGAACCUCAUCUACAAGUGCAUACCUUGAGUGGUCUUGAUUGAUUGCUUGAGGUUGUGCACUUGAACUUUACUGUGAAAAAAUUAGAGUGUUUCAAGCGUUUUUUGUGAAAGGAUAGCUUAGCAUGGUAUAAACGAAUCGAGGCCAUUUCAUGUUUGGUAUAGGAGCAUGAAAUGUUUAGCCACAACCAUCAACAGGGGUAGUUGGGGCCAUUUGUAUUCCAUAGUCAGAGGUGAAAUUCUUGGAUUUUUGGAAGACAUACUGCUGCGAAAGCGUUUGGCAAGGAUAUACCCAUUGAUCAAGGACGAAAGUUAGGGGAUCGAAGACGAUUAGAUACCGUCGUAGUCUUAACCAUAAACGAUGCCAUCUAAGAGAUGGUGUAUUGAAUGAUAUAAUCGUACAUCCUUUUUUUCCGGGAAACCAAAGCUUUUGGGUUCUGGGGGGAGUAUGGUCGCAAGUCUGAAACUUAAAGGAAUUGACGGAAGGGCACCACCAGGAGUGGAGCCUGCGGCUUAAUUUGACUCAACACGGGGCAACUUACCAGGUCCGGACAUUUUUAUGAUUGACAGAUUGAUAGCUCUUUCUUGAUUGAAUGGGUGGUGGUGCAUGGCCGUUCUUAGUUGGUGGAGUGAUUUGUCUGGUUAAUUCCGUUAACGAACGAGACCUUUUCCUGCUAACUAGUUUUAUUUAUUUUCUUUGAAAGGAAAUGGAUAAACUUCUUAGAGGUACUAUUCGUUUUUCACGGAUGGAAGUUGUAGGCAAUAACAGGUCUGUGAUGCCCUUUGAUGUCCUGGGCUGCACGCGGGCUACACUGAUGCAUUCAAAGAGUAUUUUUCUACCUACUCUGACAAGAGUUAUUUUGGGUAAUCUUUGAAAGUGCAUCGUGCUUGGGAUUGAAUUCUGUAACUGUAUUCAUGAACGAGGAAUUCCUUGUAAACGCGAGUCAUCAACUUGCGUUGAAUACGUCCCUGCCCUUUGUACACACCGCCCGUCGCUCCUACCGAUUGAACGAUCCGGUGAAGCGUACGGAUUGCAAGGCAAAUUUAUUAUGAUUUGCUUUGCGAGAAGUACGUUGAACCUUAUUGUUUAGAGGAAGGAGAAGUCGUAACAAG